rnacentral:rRNA from 1 species
UAGGUGAGUGAGAGGCAGACCAGGGGAACUGAAACAUCUAAGUACCCUGAGGAAGAGAAAACAAUAGUGAUUCCGUCAGUAGCGGCGAGCGAACGCGGAUUAGCCCAAACCAAGGAGCUUGCUCCUUGGGGUUGUGGGACGUCUCACAUGGAGUUACAAAGGAACCGGUUAGAUGAAGAGGUCUGGAAAGGCCCGCCAGAGAAGGUAAAAGCCCUGUAGUUCAAAACNUGUUCCCUCCGAGACGGAUCCCGAGUAGUGCGGGGCACGUGAAACCCCGUAUGAAUCCGGCAGGACCAUCUGCCAAGGCUAAAUACUCCCUGGCGACCGAUAGUGAAGCA